rnacentral:lncRNA from 1 species
AUCGUCCCCCAGAUCUUUCCCCCUUCCAGAUCCACUUCCCCUCGGCCCUUCCCCUUUCUCCACCGCACCCGAGCGCCGUUGUCGCAAGGCCCAUCGCCGCCGCAGCCACUGACCUCCCCGAGCCUCGUGGAGACUUCCAGGAGCUCCGCCCACCUCAUCUUCGUCGAUUCCAAGCAGUAGAUCAAGCGGGGGAGCGCCGCAUCGCCGCCAUCGAGGCAUCUUCCCCGACCUCCCCGAGCGCGUCACCGAGCUCUGUGGUGAGCUGCACUACCCACCUCUCGCCGCAUUCUUGUUUUGCCGCGGUAGAUGUUUCAUCCGCACUCGCCACGGCCACCAGAGCUCCGUGGUCGCAGCCACGCUCGUGGGCGCCCAGCCACCCAUGGGCAAGCCCCUGCCCGUCCAUGUUUGCGAGCGCGCCGCAUGCUCCAGCCGCUCGUGCCCCCUGGCCUCUGCUGACCGCAGGUAGGCGCCUGGCCACGUCCUGGUCGCCCCGGCCGUAGCCGCCGUUGCUGUCCCGGCGCACGACGCUGCCCCCUGUUGGCCGCUGUAAGCCGCGGCGUGUGCGGGCGCGCGCUGGCCGCAUCGGGUGCGUCAUUCCCGUAGCUAGCAUGUGCAUGUGUUGGUCGUGGCCGUGGUGAGUGGAGUCUCCGAGCCGGCCGAGUCUCUGUGCGGCAGUUCCUGCAUGUGUGGUGCGUGGGAGCUGCGUCUCCGCAGGCUACAAAGCCGGCCGCGGCUUGCCUGCGGCCGCUGCGUGCGACCAUCCGUGCGGCGUGUCCAUCGCACGGCCCUGGCUCCACGCACGCCCCGCUCCACGCACGCAACGAUUGAUCCUGAUUUUAAGUAAAAAAAAACAAAAUACACAUCGUAAUACUGAUUCCCUUCUUCGAUACACUUCUACCCACAUCUUUCCCCUUCUGUCUGAACAGAGCUCGAGCUGAAGCCUUACAACCUACCGUAUCUCAUCCCGUCCCCGCUCGGCUGGUCGCCGCCCGCGUGCGCGUGCGCUUGCCGGACCUGACCGUGCAGCAGCUUGGCCGGCACCGAAGCCCCCAUCGGGGUCGGCCGGACUUGCGUCACUUGGCUGGCCGCGGCCCAUGUGCGCUUGCCGGACCUAGCCGUGCUGCAGCUUGGCCAGAAUCAGCGCCUAAAUCGACGUCGGGCGGACGGCGGACCAGCGUCGCCACCCAGUGGCGCGGAGGUUGGCGAGCCAGCACGGGGCGACUACACAAGAGGGCGGCGCCUCGGGCUUGUGGAGGAGCUUGGAGGAGGGGUCGAGGGAGUGAGAUGAAGGACGUCGAGGACCGCAGCUAGAGCGCCAUGGAUUUGAUAUGCCCUUGGAGAGGAAGAAGGGGGACGGGGAUGCUUGGAGGGGGACGGGGAUGCUUGGAGGGGGAGAGGGACUGCAAUCUUUGUCUCCAGCUCGGGUCGUCAAUUCCGUCCUCAAGAAAGCCGCCGGGCUGCAGUUCGUGUACUCAACAUCACCUACACAGGACACAGGUAAAUCUCAUUUUCUUCUUGUGUUGCUCCCAUCUAAUGCAAAUUGAAUUGGGAUAAAGCUGAGAGCAAAUCCAUUCUGUUUAAAUAAAAUUAUUUUCAUGCAAUUGUCAAUCUAGUGCUCACAAUGCUCACUACUAAACUCAGAGUCUUGGACCAAUUGAUCUGUUCUCUGCUUGCUCUAUGCCUCUAGGUUUGACAUUUGGAUAGAUGGUUAUGUCUGCACUUUUGUCAAUAGAAUUAAAAUUGAUUCCUGCCAUCUCUAUCAUCAUACGUAAACUGAAGGAUAGCUGACAGGUCAGAUGCGCAUGAUGCAUGUGGACAUUGUGCAUAGAUAAUUCUGUGAACGAUUAUAUUUGACUGGGGAGAUGGAGUAGCAUUCAAAAAGAAAAAAAACCUGGUUCAUACAAGUUCAAAUAAAAAUCACUUGUAGCUUGGAAGUCUAACACACAUGCGAUAAAACUAUUCCUUUUACAGAAUAGAUUAGGUUGGUUUCGGUUGAUUGAGAAAGAAUUGAUUUUGUCCUAUCAUCAAACUAGAGUCAGAGGUCCCAAUGCUCCCUUGCAGUGAGGAAUUCAGCGUGGAAUGUUGCUGUUGUAAAUAUGUAUACAUGUAAUUUGUUGGAUGACCCUGUGCAAAAAAUUAGAGAAGUUUAGUUUCAUUGAAGUUCUGAAACUAUACUUGAAAUGAAAGUGUGGACUGCUUAUACCACUGGAGUAUUGCCGUGUUCUUGGAUCUGCGGUGGCAUUGGGAUGGUAUGACCACUGGAUUGCAGCAUUGAAGCUGGCAUUGGGAUGGUAUGACCACUGGAUUGCAGCAUUGAAGCAUUUAGGAUAGAUGUUGGAUUCGGUUGAUGGAGGAAGUCUUGAUUUUCUCCUGUCAUCAAACCAGAGUUAGAGGCCCCAAUGGUACCCUGCAGCGAGGUGUACAUGUUAUUUGUCGGAUGACCCUGUAGAGAAAGCAAAGUUCAGUUGCACUGAAGUUUAAAAAAUAGGAAAAAUGGAAGUGUGGACUGCUUCUACCAUUGCUGUAUUGUAUGGUUGGAAUCCAGCCAACAGUUGUUGGGUCUGUGGUGGCAUAGGGAUGGCAUUACCAAUUGAUGGUUGCAUUGAAGCACUUAGCAUAGCAUUAUAGUGUAAUUGAUAUGCAGCCAUUUGAUUUGUGAAAAAUUCCAUAGGACCCUAUAGAAAAUGAUAGAGAAAGGUUAGUACAGUUGAGGUUUUAUAAGAAACAAGCAACAUUGUAUUAUUACCGUUGGCGGGUCAUGAGGCUGUAGUUGUAUAAUAUCAUUUGUGUUCUUUUUCUUCUUUAGAGUUGCUUUCUUCAAAGGACCCUAUCGAAAAUGAUAGAGAAAGGUCAACACAUUGAAUAUUUUAUACGAAUCGAGUGACUAAAUAUUAUACCGCUGAGGGGCCACAAGGCUCUAGAUGCACAGUAUCAUUUGUGUUCUUUUUCUUCUUUGAAGUUGCUUUCUCAAAUCCACCAACGGGUCUUUUUGAUCCUUUCACAGUCUUCUCCUUGACCUUCAUACCUUUUGGUUUUGCAAGCCCCUCACCGUGUUUUGAAAUUCUACUAGAGGCGAUGUUCGUUCCUUCCAGUAUAAUGCCAAAUAUCAGUCGUUGUUCAACAAUAGUGUAGGUAAUUAUUGUUAGUAUAGUUUGUACCUUCUUUAGUACUGGAGUUACCCAAAUCUGGAUUAGCACUAACCAAAUCUGGAUCAGCACUAACCAAAUCUGGAUCAGCGCGAACCAAGUCUGGAUCAACAUGAACCAAAUGUGGAUCGGCGCUAACCAAAUCUGGAUCAGCUCUAAUCUUCAAGCAUUUCUCCACAUCUUGUGCUAAUUGCUCUGCACACUUAGCAGCCUUAUAGUAUGAUUCUUCGGACUCAGCGGCACGAGCAGCUAUUUUCACAAAUAUUCUGCAUAGUUCCUUGUAGCGGUUAGACAUUCUUGCUUUUAGGUUAUCAUGCGGGUUGCAUUUGCUUGUUAUAUCUAGAACUUUGGCAUCAAUUGUCCAUCUUUUCAAGAUAUAUUCCCCAGGGAUAUGCUUGAUAUUGUUAAUAUCAAGUACCUUUAAGCAAUGAGAGCAAAGAAUUCCAGCAAACUCAAACCUUUUGCAACUGCAGCUAACCUUUUCUUCUUUUGGAAUGAAUCUAACAACAUGUUCACGUUGUGUGCCAUGAAAUUUUACUACAUAAAUCUUCACCUUUGUGUCACUUUCAUCACAAAGCAUUGUGUCAUAGUUCAGAGUCCGAAGCACUUGAUCUUGAACCAUCUUGAAUAUUGCUGGAGUAUAUGUAGCUGCAACUUGUUUUAACAUAUAGCUAGAUUCAGCCUUCGACUUGGGAGUAGUCUGUGUUGCUUUAAAGUCAUACUUCACCUCUUCACAUCUUUUAUCCGAAACUAGCCGUUCAAAAUGCUCAAAGAAAGUAAGCAUGUCAUAUUUAAUACUAAUGUAUCUCUUCAGUUCAUUGUUCAUGCUUUCACUUCUUUGGGUAGUGCUCAUGUGGGCAGAGAACGUAUUUUUACCGUACACUAGUGCCUAGUGUUCCUUUUUCUCAAAUAGCCUUUGCAGCCAUUCAUUGUCAUGCAGUCCAUACUUGUCAAUCAUUUUAUCCCAUGCACCUACAAAUUCAUCCUCCUCUUCUAUAUCAUAUAUACAGUGCUGAAAAUCAACAUUGAACUUCUUAUAUUCGUCAACAACUCCGGCGAGGUGCUUGCAAGCAUUUUGAUUCAUAUGCCACACACAAAGUCUAUGGUGAGAGUGAGGAAAGACUUCACGAAUUGCCUUCGCCAUUGCCGCAUCUUCAUCGGUGAGAAUUGUACGUGGAUGUUUUCCUGACAUAACUUUUAGGAAAGUUCUGAAAAGCCAAGCAAAACUAGCAGCGGUUUCAUCAUAUAGAAGUGCAGCACCAAAGACAAUAGUUUUCUUAUGAUCAUUCACCCCGACAAUCAAACCAAAUGGACGUCCAUCAUCUAGUUUUCUGUAUGUGGUGUCAAAGCAUAUAACAUCGCCGAACAUUGCAUAGUCUGAAACCAUUUUGGAGUCGGCCCAAAAAAUAUUAGUUAUCAACUCAUCCUCAUCCACUUGAAUUGAAUAGAAGAAGUUGACAUCUUCUGAGACCUUUUUCUCUAUGUAUUCUAAUACCCCCCCUGUGUCACCUACCUUUUCUUUUAUUGUUCUCUUUGAGUACAAACAAUUUUUCAUAUCUUGAGGUGUAAAGCCAAGGUUUUCACUUCCACCUGCUUCUUUAGCCAUCAAAUCGACUAUUGCUUUAUUUGAAAUGCCAACUGACUUUGCAACCUCUGCGUUUGCUAUCUGUGCUUCUGUCACUUUUCUCUGGGAUCUCAAGUAUUGGGCCAUGAGUCCAUUAGCAAGAGUGUGGUUAUGUGAUGCCUCGAAUUCAUACACAUAAUAAAAUCCAUCUUUAAGGCUAAUCUUCAUACGGGCAUCACAACCACAUCGUGUUUCAGGCCUACUGUAAGUGAAUGUCUCCUCUCUUUUAUCUUCCCGGCGAUGGCCUAUAAGUUGUUGUAAUUGUCUUAGAGCAUAAAUAAAUUAUUAUAAUUUAAAAAAUGAAAAUAACCCAUACCUUGACGAGAGCAUGUAAAUGUCCGUUGCUGGAAUGUAGAAGAGUUCAUCACUUUAUGACCACUGCUUCUUCUGAUGCUAAAACCGAUGGUUUUAGCAUACUUGUUAUAAAAUAAAUAAGCUUCCUCUUCAGAUAAAAAUUUCAUGCCAAGCUUUGGUACCCUUUCAUCGGUGUGAUCUACUGCAGUUUCUUGAUCCUAUAUCAGUUAGGAUUCAAUUUAGUUAAUACACACAUAUAGCAAAAAUAUUUGCCUAUCAUGAGUUUUUAUGAACUGCAUCAUAAAUCAUAUUUAUAUCUCUUGCAAUCGUAUUUAUCUUAAGAAACAUGGAGUGCAUUGAGACAUCAUGAGUCUUAAGUUUUAGAGAAGAAAUCAUGAUGCACUCUAGAAUCCUUGUUCUGUUUAUAUUUCAUAUCAGUACACGGUUUGUGCAAGUAUAUUCAACUAUCUCUUAUGUUUGUCCAUGAACUAUAUGUAUUGCAAAAGGAAUAGAAAAAACUGUAGUGCAUGUUUUCCAAAACCUGAAAUCAGAGAUGGUACAAGAACGUAUGAAAUUGGCUACUGUACAUGACACUGCUUUGUUUUUCUAAAUUAAAAAAAAACUAACUUUCCGUUGUUAUUUGGCUUCUGCAGAAUGCGGUCACAGAUUCCUGUAGAAGUUCUACAAGGGUGCAGCACACUGCUUUUUCCCGGCCAACACUCUGGAUCGUGUCACAGUUGAUGGAAAGCGGAUCUUUUAGGCAAACAUAUUUGUGUGCAUUGCUGGAUGUGAAGUCUCCCGCAAUGGUUCAAAACAAAGAAAUUAGAGAAUUUGCCGCAGAUUCAUCGUCAGAACCGAAUGAGAUUUCUUACUUUUGGUGCAUGAGAUUGUUCGUCAGAGUUGUGGUUCCCUGGAACACUCCUCGGAGAAGCCAUCAGGGAUGCAAGACUCGGAGAAGCCAUCAGGGACGCGGAUUCCUUUGCUGCUCAAUUGAAGAGAAGAGUUUCAUGAUUCCUGGUUAAGCCGCUACUGAUAAUUGUGCGCUUUAAGGCUGUAAGGUCACUUCCGCCUCAUAUGAGAUGUAGACUUGCAUUUUGGCGCCCUUUUGUGUAUUCUGUGGUUCUUUUGGCGGGUGCUGAAGAAGGGAAUCAGUAUUACGAUGUGUAUUUUGUUUUUUUCCACUUAAAAUCAGGAUCAAUCGUUGUGUGCGUGGAGCGGGGCGUGCGUGGAGCCAAGGGCCGUGCGAUGGACACGCCGCACGGAUGGUCGCACGCAGCGGCCGCAGGAAAGCCGCGUCCAUUUCCAGGUUGUUAGCAGUGUGCAUGUAGCUAGGUAGUUAGUGCAUGGGUUAGUGGCCGAUCUGGCAUGCGUGCCUCUGGGUAUUAAAGUGGCCACG